GAUACAUAAAACAAAUAAAUGGAAGUACUAAAAUAAUGAUCAUAUUCUUACCUUGAUCCAUGAAGUGAGAUUGAGUCACCUUGUGAAUUGUAUUGUCAAGGUCUUCAACUCACUACUCUCAUAUAGUGGAUGGGUCACUUGUGUGGUGUAUGUUGUUAAAAAAUAAACAACAAGAAAGAAAAAGACAUAAGAAUGAGAGUGUGGCUUGGGACCUCAAUUUAUAAUAAGUUGUACAUCUCUUAGUCUUCCCAUCAAAGACUAUAUGGGAGUUAUACUCAUUAUUUACAC
rnacentral:lncRNA from 1 species